rnacentral:lncRNA from 1 species
UUAGACCAGGGUCUAUAGGGUAGUAGUGCACUACUUUAGACCAGGGUCUAUAGGGUAGUAGUGCACUACUUUAGACCAGGGUCUAUAGGGUAGUAGUGCACUACUUUAGACCAGGGUCUAUAGGGUAGUAGUGCACUACUUUAGACCAGGGUCUAUAGGGUAGUAGUGCACUACUUUAGACCAGGGUCUAUAGGGUAGUAGUGCACUACUUUAGACCAGGAUCUAUAGGGUAGUAGUGCACUACUUUAGACCAGGGUCUAUAGGGUAGUAGUGCACUACUUUAGACCAGGGUCUAUAGGGUAGUAGUGCACUAUAUACUAGGUAAUGGAUUCUCAGUCAAUUGUCCUUUAAACAACGACCGGUUAAUCAGAAACCAAAGAUGACAGGAGAGCUUUAUUAUGGCUAGUAACGGCCAGGGUAGAUGUGUUGGGUAUUGUAUUGCUAUUGAACUAAACGAUUAGCAUACUAGUGAUGUAUACAAUAUUAGUUACUUUCAAACGUGUAGAGGACAUUUAAAGUAGUGCAAUAGAUACACUACCAGUCAAAAGGUUUACAACACCUACUCAUUCAAGGGUUUUUCUUUAUUUUUUUUACUAUUUCUACAUUGUAGAAUAAUAGUGAAGACAUCAAAACUAUGAAAUAACACAUAUGGAAUCAUGUAAUAACCAAAGAAGGUGUUAAACAAAUCAUUUGAGAUUUUUCAAAGUAGCCACCCUUUGCCUUGAUGACAGCUUUGCAAACUCUUGGCAUUCUCUCAACCAGCUUCAUGAGGAAUGCUUUUCCAACAGUCUUGAAGGAGUUCCCACAUAUGCUGAGAACUUGUUGGCUGCUUUUCCUUCACUCUGUGGUCCAACUCAUCCCAAAUCAUCUCAAUUGGGUUGAGGUCAGGUGAUCGUGAAGGCCAGGUCAUCUGAUGCAGCACUCCAUCACUCUCCUUCUUGGUCAAAUAGCCUUUACACAGCCUGGAUGUGUGUAAUGGCCCAAACCAGAUGGGAUGGCGUAUCACUGCAGAAUGCUGGUUAAGUGUGCCUUGAUUUCUAAAUAAAUCACAGACAGUGUCACCAGCAAAGCCCUCGCACACCAUCACACCUCCUCCUCCAUGCUUCACGGUGGGAACCCCAGAUGCGGAGGUCAUCCAUUAACCACACCGCAUUUCACAAAGACAUGGCGGUUGGAACCAAAAAUCUCCAAUUUGGACUCAUCAGAACAAAGGAAAAAUGUGAACUGGUCUAAUAUCCAUUGCUCGUGUUUCUUGGCCCAAGCAAGUCUCUUCUUCUUAUUGGUGUCCUUUAGUAGUGUUUUCUUUGCAGCAAUUCGACCAUGAAGGCCUGAUUCACAGAGUCUCCUCUGAACAGUUGAUUUUGAGAUGUGUUUGUUACUUGAACUCUGUCACAGCAUUUAUUUGGGCUGCAAUUUCUGAGGCUGGUAACUCUAAUGAACGUGUCCUCUGCAGCAGAGGUAACUCUGGGGCUUCCUUUCCUGUGGCAGUCCACAUGAGAGCCAGUUUCAUCAUAGCGUUCUACGGUUUUUGCGACUGCACUUGAAGAAACUUUCAAAGUUCUUGACAUUUUCCGUAUCGAGUGAUGUCUUAAAGUAAUGAUGGACUGUCAUUUCUCUUUGCUUAUUUGAGCUGUUCUUGACAUAAUAUGGACUUGUUCUUUUACCAAAUAGGGCUAUCUUCUGUACACCACCCCUACCUUGUCACAACACAACUGAUUGGCUCAAACACGUUAAGAAGUAAAGAAAUUCCACAAGUUAACUUUUAAGAAGGCACACCUGUUAAUUGAAAUGCAUUCCAUGUGACUACCUCAUGAAGCUGGUUAAGAGAAUGCCAAGAGUGUGCAAAGCUGUCAUCAAAGCAAAGUGUGACGAAUCUCAAAUCUAAAAUACAUUUUGAUUUGUUUAACACUUUUUUUUUGUUACGACAUGAUUCUAUAUGUGUUAUUUCCUGGUUUUGAUGUCUUCACUAUUAUUCCAUAAUGUAGAAAAUAGUUUUUAAAAAUUAAGAAAAACCCUUGAAUGAGUAGGUGUUCUAAAACCAGUACUGUAUAGGAUGGCUAUUCAUUUUUAUGUUAAAGGAUAAAAUUAGCAGGUAUGCUAGUCUAGCUCUGGUUACAUUGUUUGUUUUUUUAUAGCUUAGCUUGCUAUAUCACGAUUCUUUGUAGUAUGAUCUAUUGAGCAUAUCAACUCACUGUGCUACGUCUAGGGUGGCAAAAGUACGUAAACGUUCUUAAAAUUCCCCGAAUUUCCCAAAAUCCUUGUUGGAAGGAUCUCGGAAAUCAGGAGCGGAUAAGCAGGAUUUCUGGAAAAUCUGGGAAUUUGGGGAAAGUUUGCAACCCUAGAUACAUCCUCAAUAUGACAUGUAUGUAAAGGCCUUACUGUAUAUAAGGGAGAGAAGGAGAGACGAGCGAGAGAAGGAGAGAAGGGAGAUAAGGAGGGUAUGAGAUAAGGUGGGUAAGAGAUAAGGAGGGUAAGAGAUAAGGAGGGAAGGAGAUAAGGAGGGUAAGAGAUAAGGAGGGUAAGAGAUAAGGAGGGUAAGAGAUAAGGAGGGUAAGAGAUAAGGAGGGUAAGAGAUAAGGAGGGUAAGUGAUAAGGAGGGUAAGAGAUAAGGAGGGUAAGAGAUAAGGAGGGUAAGUGAUAAGGAGGGUAAGUGAUAAGGAGGGUAAGAGAUAAGGAGGGUAAGUGAUAAGGAGGGUAAGUGAUAAGGAGGGUAAGAGAUAAGGAGGGUAAGUGAUAAGGAGGGUAAGUGAUAAGGAGGGUAAGAGAUAAGGAGGGUAAGUGAUAAGGAGGGUAAGUGAUGGAGGAAGAGAUAAGGAGGGUAAGUGAUAAGGAGGGUAAGUGAUAAGGAGGGUAAGUGAUAAGGAGGGUAAGUGAUAAGGAGGGUAAGUGAUAAGGAGGGAAGAUUGAAGAAAAAUAAAGGGUUGAGUACAAGGGGCUAUUCCAGGAAGCAGGAAGCAGGAUCAUUGAGUUAGCCUGAACUGUCCUAAAUAUUCAAGAAAUGACAUUGCAUUUGUUUUGAAUAUAUAUAUGUAGAGAGAGAGAGAGAGAGAGAGAGUUGAAAUUAGCAUGUUGUAAUUGACUUGACAACCACCAACACAUAUUGAAGUUUAGCUUUCAAAAUGAAACAGAAAACCCCCCAAUAUUUACCUGAAAAUUAAGCGAGAUAUCUGACUGUUUGUCAAAGUUAGCUCACUAAUUUAAUCCUGCUUUCUGGAAAGGCUCCUCACUGUGAAUCUAGGUCAUUGUGAGGAUAGAGAAUAUGUUUGUGUCCAAAACUGCACCCUAUUCCCUAUUUAGUGCACCUACUGUAUUUAGGGCCCAUAGGGGAUCUGGUCAAAAGUAGUGCACUGUGUAGGGAAUAGGGGUGCCUUUUAGGACGUGGCCUAUUUGACCACCGACAGUUGUGUGUAUGAUAGUUGUAGAAUACUACACAGGUUUAUACAUUUGAUUGAUGUCUAUUGAGACUGUAUGACAUGAAUGUCUUAUCCUAUGAAUGUCUACUAUCUGAACAGUAUGUCUGUAAUGUCUCUUUGUGCACACGUCUAGGAAUGUCUCAAUGACCACACUAUGAAUGUACGUGUACCUCUCCAGUUAGGCAAAGGGGUCUGUUCCGUCCAUUCAUGAAAUGAGGAAUUCUUAUAGAAAAUAAAUUCAAGCGUUGAACAAUUCAAGGUUUGAAUUUGAAAUUGAAACGGACAAAAUUCAACCCCUUGAGUUGAGAAUGAAACUACGCCCAACCCUGCACUGAAUCUGUCUUUGUUCUGUCCCUCUCACUGUCUGACUGUCAUCUGUAGCUAGUACAAUCUAAAAUAAUGUCUCUCAAGUAUGUUUUUCCUAUGAAUGUAUUCAGGCUAUCUAUGUAUGAGUAUACUAGCAGUGUUAUUGUCAAUGAAUGUAAAUCUUUGAAUGUUCUCUGACUGCCUGUCAAUGAAUCUAAGUGUUUGAAUGUUCUCUGACUGCCUGUCAUUGAAUGUAAAUCUUUGAAUGUUCUCUGAUUGUGUCUGAAUAUAUUUCAGGUUCCGUAGGACUACUUUGAGCCCUGCGCGGGCAUGCAUUUUAAACCAGAGCUCUACCAAUGCCAGGCAACAUUCAGGCCCUACCCUGCCCAGGCCCAAUUGCUUCUGCCAAAUUUAAGGCCCAUUCAUGCACGAAGCCCAAAAUCUGAAAUCACUUCCUCUGUUAGUAAAUCCAUUAGCUGCUCUGUCUGUCACUCGCUCCCUGCACACAGCUCGCUCUGCAUGCGCUCUGAGUCUGUGAGUAACCAUAGCGACGGCUCCUCUUGGGCUGCUCAAUGACGAGAUAUGAGAGGGCUGUUAGCUGUUAGCUAAUUUUCACUCAAGGAACAUUAUUAUUUUCUGUCAAAUAAUCUCUCCUGUUUUAUAUUUGACAAUGUUGAAGCACUUCUAACACCAUGUUAUGAUCUUAGUCAGAUAUGACUGUACUGCGCAGCAGAGCACGCGCAAAUGGCUCACCUUCAACAUUUUAAUGAUCAUUUAAUGAUACCCGAGCCGUACCAGUACCCUAGUUAUUGAUGAAAAAAAAAAAAAGGCCUUACCCGGCCCUAACCCGAUGUAUAAUGCUGGGGCCCGUCGGGCUUGGGACCAACAGCAGAGCUCUAGGACUACUUAUCUUCUCAGUCCACCAAUAGCAGAGCUCUAGGACUACUUAUCUUCUCAGUCCACCAAUAGCAGAGCUCUAGGACUACUUAUCUUCUCAGUCCACCAAUAGCAGAGCUCUAGGACUACUUAUCUUCUCAGUCCACCAAUAGCAGAGCUCUAGGACUACUUAUCUUCUGAGUCCACCAACAGCAGAGCUCUAGGACUACUUAUCUUCUCAGUCCACCAAUAGCAGAGCUCUAGGACUACUUAUCUUCUCAGUCCACCAACAGCAGAGCUCUAGGACUACUUAUCUUCUCAGUCCACCAAUAGCAGAGCUCUAGGACUACUUAUCUUCUCAGUCCAGAGCUCUUCAUAUCAGCGUCCCCUAUUCCCUUGCAAGUGCACUACUUUUGACUAGAGCCAUCAAAAGUAGUGCACUAAGGGAUAGGAUGACAUUUGGGACGCAGUUCAACCUGUUGACCAGCCUGUUGGUCAGCCUGUUGACC